rnacentral:rRNA from 1 species
AGAUUGAACGCUGGCGGCAUGCCUAACACAUGCAAGUCGAACGGGAGUAGCAAUACUCUAGUGGCGGACGGGUGAGGAAUACGUAGGAAUUUGCCCUUAAGUGGGGGAUAACCCGGGGAAACCCGGAUUAAUACCGCAUGACCUCGAAAGAGACAAAGGUGGGGGAUCGCAAGACCUCACGUCUUUUGGAGAAGCCUACGUCGGAUUAGCUAGUUGGUGAGGUAAUGGCUCACCAAGGCGACGAUCCGUAACUGGUCUGAAGAGGAUGAUCA